GUCUAUGGCCACGCCACCCUGAACAAGCCCGGUCCCAUCUGAUCUCGGAAGCUAAGCAGGGUCGGGCCUGAUUAGUAUUUGGAUGAGAGACCACUUACGGAGACCAGGUGCUGUAGGCA
rnacentral:rRNA from 1 species